rnacentral:misc_RNA from 1 species
UCAAUUGAGAAUCAUUGCCUUCAGUGCUGGCCAGCUCUGGCAAGUGCACAUCAGUGACUUUUAUCCAAUACCCUUGUGCACCAUUGGCCUCUGCUAGCUUUGGCUGGCAGAGGAAUUUUACACAAACUGAAUGUAAUGAAAUUUAUUGUCAUGCACAAGCACUAAUGUU